rnacentral:rRNA from 1 species
AUACGGAGGAUGCGAGCGUUAUCCGGAUUUAUUGGGUUUAAAGGGAGCGUAGGUGGGAUAUUAAGUCAGCUGUGAAAGUUUGGGGCUCAACCUUAAAAUUGCAGUCGAUACUGGUUUCCUUGAGUACGGUACAGGUGGGCGGAAUUCGUGGUGUAGCGGUGAAAUGCAUAGAUAUGACGAAGAACACCGAUUGCGUAGGCAGCUGACCAGACCGCAAAUGACGCUCAUGCGCGAAAGUGCGGGGAUCGAACAGGAUUAGAUACCCUGGUAGUCCGCACAGUAAACGAUGAAUACUUGUUUUCGGCGAUAUAAUGUCGGAGGCAAAGCGAAAGCGAUAAGUAUUCCACCUGGGGAGUACGCCGGCAACGGUGAAACUUAAAGGAAUUGACGGGG